AGUGAACGCUGGCGGUAGGCCUAGCACAUGCAAGUCGAACGGCAGCACAGUAAGGGCUUGCUCUUACGGGUGGCGAGUGGCGGACGGGUGAGGAAUACAUCGGAAUCUACUUUUUCGUGGGGGAUAACGUAGGGAAACUUACGCUAAUACCGCAUACGACCUACGGGUGAAAGCAGGGGAUCUUCGGACCUUGCGCGAUUGAAUGAGCCGAUGUCGGAUUAGCUAGUUGGCGGGGUAAAGGCCCACCAAGGCGACGAUCCGUAGCUGGUCUGAGAGGAUGGUUAGGCAACACGGGAACUGGACAAGGUCCCGACUCCUAAGGGAAGCCAGCGUGAGGAAUAUUGGCGCAUGGGGGCAAGCCUGAUCCAGGCAUAGCGGGUGGGUGAAGAAGGCCUUCGGGUUGUAAAGCCCUUUUGUUGGGAAAGAAACGCAGCAGGUUAAUACCCCGCUGUUCUGACGGUACCCAAAGAAUAAGCACCGGCUAACUUCGUG
rnacentral:rRNA from 1 species